GGACUCGGUGCAGUCCAGCUCCACGGUCGCGCGUCCCACAGCUCCCUUCACGUCCGUUCCUCCGUUUCCCCACCUUGGGAGGGCCAGGACUUCCGAGGCUUUAGGGGGCAGGAAGCUGCGAGAAGGUGGCGCUUGCUUAGAAACCUGGACCCCUACUGAAUGGAUCUGCUGGCACCUAGACCUCAGAGAAGGGGGAACUGAAGACUGAAGUCUGACCACUGUUCUUUGUUGAAAAUUUCUUUCUCAGGGGCUUGGAGGGAUCACAUCUACAAUCCUGAGCUAAUAUUCUCUUCUGCUGUCCCCAAAAUUUAAACGAAGCUUCUCUUAACCCAUUGCAAAUGAGAAAAAUCUUUGAAUCUA
rnacentral:lncRNA from 1 species